CUCCAGGAAUACUUGAUGGACAUGAUUUCCUACAGGCAAAAGGAAAUAAACAGCUCUGCAUACGUAAAGGGCUGAGGUCAUUGCCCCUUGGUGUUUCUCACCUGGCAGGAGAGAGGAGGGGCUGUAGAAUUUAGCAGGGAGACAAUGAUGGUGACUCAGUGCUGAAAGUUUCCCGCAAGCAGACACAGGCCACUUUCCCUGUGUCUACUCACAAGCUCACCCAAGAAAGAGCCUAUGCCUUCGGGGCUCAUCUCCUCCCUGUCAUCUCUCUCCUCACAACUAAAAGGAAGGCCUAGAACAGCUCCACUCAGGGAAUGAGUGCAGGAGAAUCACCAGGACAUGGUGGGCCAAUGCAGAUUUGGAUUCAGUAGCUCCUGGGUGGUAGGACCUCACAGUCUGCAUCUCUACUAAACUCCAGCUCCUGGUGACCUUGAAUCUACUUUCUGCUGCUGAGAAUUUACCUAUUUUGGAUGCUUCAUGAGACGAUUCCUCUUAGCAAAAGGGCACUGUGUACCCUCCAAGGCUGGAAAUGAUAGGUUUUCGGCGAGGAGUGAAAAUAUUGUGCUGACAGCCCUUUGCCUGUGUAGAGCAGGGUUGUUUACUCGCGCUGGAGCACAGCUUUAUUGAAGCAGAGAGUCAUGGUCCCAUCAUCAGGGUUGCCUAGCAACCAGUCUACGCCACUCCACAGAGUUUCAGAAUGGGCUGGACCACAAGUACCCACUUUGGGGGAUUUCCAGUGACAGUCCUACUCUCACUCCAUCACAUCGCUUCUAAAAUCUGAGUCACAUGGUUCAAAUUUCACAGUACAAAGUGUGUUCUUCAGAUCUGGGGUUCUCUCCAAAAUGGAUAAUCAUUAUUGAUUUUGUAAUGCAAUGCCAAGACCAUCAGUAAGCCUGGACCCACGCCUUCAUCAAUCUACUGUCAGGGAUAGAUUGUGCAUUUUCUGUGUCCCAGUGGGUGCCCCCCCCCCAAAAUAGAGCAGACAAAGCCUGGCCUGCGAGGGUACUGGUUUAGUUCAACAAAUAUCCAUAGAAUGCCCACUUAGGCAAAAUGGCAUAGGGCAGAUUGCCAAAAUCAGGGUUGACUCGGCCUGGAGCCAUGAAGUGGGUCCAACAGGUCUCUGAACUGAGGCAGGAGGCCCCAGGAUCCCGAGGUGUGCUGUAAAGCCUUUGAUGACAGCAUCUUGUGCCUAACACCUGACCACAUCUGAGCCACUAGAGACAGUACCUGAUAAGGAUGCAGAUGCCUGGGCCCUACCUUCCAAAGUUCUGGCUCAGUAGGUCUGGGGGAAGACCAGUAAUCUUCAUUUUAACAAAGACCACUGACGGUUCUGAUGCAGGUGGUCCAAGGACCACACCUGGAGAAACUUCCACCUCUAGGAGCAUCUGGGGUAAAAACUUCACCCAAACUUCCUAAGGUCACAACAUAUCCCCCCCAACAGAGGAAGCAGUAACUUUUGGCCACAGCCCCUAGAGAGGGGAUUUGCCUGGCGUUUCUAUACUGUCCUCUGUCCAAGGACAAAGUGUGCCUUACCCCACAACUGCUUUGUGGUUAAAAGCUUCUAUUGAGGGAUAGUUUAUUUACUUCUAGCACUAUGAAGCAAUAUAGUGAGGUUUUUGUUUCCUUUGAAUCCCAGUCAUUUUAUGCUGCAGAAAAUCUAGAGUUUUUGCCACAGUGGAGGACUCUGCUUAAGGACUACCUAUCUGGGUCUGGUAAUAGCUACCCCAACCCAACGGUCCUGAACGAGUAAUAUGGUUCGACUGUUUCCCUCCCCACCUCCAAAUCUCAUCUUGAAUUGUAGUUCCCAUAAUCCCCACGUGUUGUGGGAGGGACCUGGUGGGAGGUAAUUGAAUCAUGGGGGCGGUUAGCCUCAUGUUGUUCUCCUGAUAGUGAGUUCUCACAAGAUCUGAUGGUUUUAUAAGGGGUUUUUCCUCCUUUUGCUUGGCACUUCUUGCUGCCACCAUGUGAAGAAGGACAUAUUUGCUUCCCCUUAUGCCAUGACUGUAAGUUUCCUGAGGCCUCCUGAGCCAUGUGGAACUGUGAGUCAAUUAAACCUCUUUCCUUUAGAGAUUACCCAGUCUCAGAUAUGUCUUUAUUAGCAGAGUGAGAAUGGGCUAAUACAAUGAGAUAGAACUUAAAUCCCCUGCAUGCUCAUCAGAGGAGGCUCCAUAGAAGAUCAUGGACCUUGAACAAGGUGCAAGUAAGCCUAGAUGCAAUGCAAUGGAUUAGGGAUUCCAGGCUUGAAAACCAGUGGGAAGGAAGGGGUCAGGUGGGAGUGGUCCUCAGUUCCUGUGUGGGCUCUGGCAUCAGGCAGCACACAGGAGUCUUCCCUGCUGGUGGGGAGAGAAAGAGGCAGUAGAAGGGGUCCCGAGCUGGAAGGAUCAGCAGCCACUGCAGACUACUGAUGGAGGCAGUGCCAGGGAGGAAGAGGGUCGUGCCUAGUGGUGUCCAGGCAUUGGCAUGCAGGAGGCAGUCCAGGCACUGGUACCCGGGAGAGUUAAAACUGGGGGAAGGGAAGACAGCAGGGGAUUCUCACAAGGAAUGUGGAGCAGAGGCCCAGGCAGGGGGCCAUCAAGGUGGAGAGGACUGAACCUGGAAAUGGAAGCUUUCCAAGUCACACAUUGAAGAGUAUCAGCAAGGUCUUAAGCCCUGGAACAGUGAGGGAUGGCAUCAGGACAAACUGAGGUCAGUGAGUGUGUUGGCAGCGGACCAGGCUCCGAACGGCACAAACUCCGUCUGGGAUGGGGAAUCUAGCAGAAGACCUAGGAAGAAUUUGAAGAGGGUUCAGAGGUGAAUUAGGGAUGCUUGUAGCUUUUGUGUGGGCAGUGCGUUACUGGGGUGUAGUCCUCAUUGAAGGCCCAAGAUUCUGCCUCUAAGGGUGUAACUCUGCUGAAUCCAGCACCUGAGAGGCUGUCCAGAGCAGGCAGGAGGUCAGCUGUCAGGCUGUGGGCCCAGUUUUAGAGUCAAAUUGAAUUUCCAGUGGGGAAGACCAAAGCUGAAGUCCAUCCCCCAGAGGAUGAGAGAAAGGAAGGCUGCAGCUCAGGCAGCUCAGGGAGUCUGAGGCAGCAAACGAGCUCUGGACCUUGAAGUGGGGAGAGGAAGUCCUUUCACCUCAUCACAGUGCUCACAUCACCUCAGAAACCAGGUGGGACACACAGCUGUGACAGAAAGGGGAGCUCCAAUGGAAAAGCCACCUGCAUCAUGAUGCUGCCUGUCACUUGACUGAGCGUUCCUGCUGCCCAGAAGCUCCUGUUGUCCUCCCAACUGACGGGAUGCUCUUGGACAGUGAUGCCAGCUGGAAUUAAGACUGGGUUUCCAAGGCCACUGUGACCACCAUGAUUAAUCAAUCCCUACUGCUAGGGCUCCAACAUGCCUCAGCCAGAAAGCUGUCAUCUCUUUCCUGGGAACAUUCCUUAAGAAAGAACCAUCAUGGGGUUGGAUGAAACUAAACUUGCAAAGAAGGUGAUGUGUAACCAAGUUGGAGUGUGGAGUGUGGGGUCAAAGAUGAUGGCAUUCUGUGUGGAUCCGCAGUGGUAGGAAUGGAGGUGAGGAGGAAGAAAUGAAUCCAGGAGGCAGCGUGACAGAAAACACAGACUUUGGUGACGACAUGUGAGAAGCUGUAAACUGAUAAGAAGAAAAGACGUCUCCAGCACGUUUGGGUUAGUGUCAUCAACCCAUGGAUCCUGCCCACAGCAAGACUUGGCCCAGUCACAACCCCCUUUCUAGCAAUGUGGAGAUAAAUGUCUUCAACAGAAAGGGUUGGGAAUCCCAUGUGACAGCCGAGCUCUGUUCUGCCUUUGACAGAGUCUGAUGCGAAGUGGAUCAUCUCAGGGAUGUGCCUUGCUGGCUUCACCCACCUGGAGCCUCAGGGGAAGUCUCAGGUGGGAGAUGUUAAUUUGAGAGGCCUGGGUAUAAAAGUAAUCCCAAGAUGUCACAAGAUAGAAUACUUUCUCUGAGGCACAAACAGGGAGAAAAACAAGAACAGAACCCCUUAGCAGGACACUCAUAAUAAGAAGAAUUAGGAAAAGAAAAGGGAACCCGGGGUGACACAAAACUGGGGGAGUCUGUUACCACAAGGUAGAUGGCUACCUCCAGUUGGACAAAUUUCCAUGGACCACCAUGCAAUUUCUGGAGAUGCCGCCUUUGAUCCCCUCUUCUCCCUUUGCUCCUCCCUCAUCUCCACACUCAAAGUGCACAUUAUUCAGAUGUCCAGCACGCCCCUAAAUCAACUUGACUUCUCUUGUUCCUUGGCAGAUUCAAGGACCAGCCUUCAUUGGAUUUGGGGUGGAAGCUACAUGCUUGUGUCAAGGGUUGUAAUCCCAAGUCUGGUCCUGUUUUCUGCAAACAAUAUCAUUGUAAACACAUUGAAUGUGUCUGAAUGGGAUUCACAUAACCUAUUCAAAGGUUAAUAUCACAAGACUGAUACUGAGCUGGAAGCUCUGAAAUGUACUUGUGCUCAGGGAAGAUAUUUGCUAAUGUUUGGCUUUAAUUUCCCCUGGAACUUGUACACAUCAGUGAGGCCUGGGGAUAAUGAAUAACAGCAUGGACAAUAAAUUUUAAAACAAACAAAAUAAAAACUCAAAGAACAUUAAUGCAGACCAGUGCUGGGAUAUGAUGUGUGUUACAAGAGAGUAAUGAUUACUCUUGGUGAGCAGAUUCUAUUAUCUGCUUCUUAGGAGCAAUAGGUGGCUGCCUCUUGAUUGUAUUAGUCCUGGAGUUAUAAAAUCCUCAGUCCUUUACAAUGCAAAAGUGACACAUGGGGCGAGUAAGCAGGUAAGAGAAGGAGCAAUUGGAGGAAGAGAAAUGAGAUCUGUGGCAGGGGCUAUUGGCUUUCCACUAAAACCCAUUCUCUACUUCUUGCUGGGCAAGAACUAGGCAGUAUUUACCAGCCCCUCUUGCAUUUGGGGUGGCCACAAACGAAUUCUGGCCAGUGGAGUGAGGGGCUUCUCAGACAGCAGCCUGCCCCUUCCACACUCCUGUUCCCCUUGCAGUGGCUCAAAGCCCUUGGGUGAUGAUGGAGCCAUAGCUGGAAGAAGCCUGGGUCCCUGGGUCCCCCGUGGAGCCUCCACGCGGGAAGGUGGUCUAGAAAUACACUUCCAUAUUUCAGCCAGCAUGCCUUGGGAUCUUUUUUUAAUGGUGGUUCAGCCUACCCUAACUAAAGCUGGGCCCACUCAGCACGCCCCACACAGGGAUUCUGAAAUGGGAGCAGGGUCCACCAAAACUCUGCUUUUCAGAGAGCUCACACCCUAGGGGAGUAUAAAAGUGACGAGGACACUGGAGCUGGCAGGCAAGACCCAGGAUGCCAAAAUUAGGGCCCCUAAACACAGCAGGGAGGGUGAGCUAUCCUCUUGUGAGGUGGGAGGAGGGUCUCCGUGAGCAGGGCUCUUCUUGGGCCAAACCUGGAUCAUGAGGAGGAGGGAGAGAUGCUGAAUAUGACAUGUCAUUCAAAGUGCUGUCUGGAAAUUUGAGUUCGUUUCUUCAGUAGAGGCAGCACAGGUUAAUCAGACAAACCAGCCAUCAACAGGCUUCCUUUGAGGAGCUUGGUAAGAAUGGAAAACCCAGGGCUGAGGGGCUUACAGAGCUUACAGAGCAGCACAGUAUCAGGGGCCCAAGGCACCAGGAGCUCCUCUGGAAAUUGGCGGGAACAGCUGGAGCAAAGCCGAGGUGAUGGUACCCCUGGUGGCGGGACGGCAGCGACCCUCCAUGGUAUAAGGAGUGGUGAGACCCCAAGGGACAGUGUGCAAGGACUCUGAUGGCAGCAACACUCCUCUAGGAGCUGAUGAGAAAGGCCUGGAAUCCCAAGAUGCACCCCUGAGGUUCAACUCCUACCCUGAUCAUCUCCUCCAAGAUUCUGUGACCUGGGGAAGUCAACAGUACAUUUCAACACCUAUGAUGUCAGCAUGUGAAUGACAUUCCAAUGCUGCUCAUGGGGUCACCCCUGCAAAGGUGAACUCAGUGGAAAGACCUUGCCAAACCGGAAGGAAAACAGGAUACUUUUCUCCAAAAUACUCAUUCAAUAAAUAUUUGCUUAGGCAUUACAAAGACAAAUAAGACUUGCCCCUACCUGUUAGAGGUAUGUAUGUCGAGAAAAGGAAGGAGUGAUUCAAUAAGAGAAACAGCAUUCAGGGAAGAGAAAGAAGGAAGACAUAAAAAUUCAGGUCAUAUUAGAAUAAUAUAUAUAACAAUGAGUUUGGCUAUAUUUCAGAAUUUUCCCAAAAUAUUUCUUUCAAAUUUGAUUGACAUUCUAAACUAUUUAGCUUGAUAUAAAUGAGAUCUUUGUGUACCCUCAGCAGGAACUGCAUUUUAGCUGGUUUUAAAUCUCAACAAUCACUUUCCUGCCUUGGAGAAGGUAUGAACCAGGCUGUUUAUGUAGAAUCCAGGUGGGUUUGAGAGCAGCUUCAGCUGAAUGGAGAGUGACAGGGAGGCUGAGGAAGGGAGGGAGGGGACCCAUGGGCUGUCAUACCCGGGGACUUAGGAAGGCUCUUGCUCUUGCUGGAAGGGUUGCAAAUCCCUAAACCAAGUAAUCCCAUCCCUAAACCAAGUAAUCCCAUUAAAACAUGAAACAUCCAGAGUAAAAUUAAGUUUAGAAUACUAUUUGCAAAGCCAAACAUAGUCUUACCAUAGGAUCCAGGCAUCACACUCCUUGGUAUUUACCCAAAUGGGUUGGAAACUUCCAUAUAAAAAUCUGCACACAGGCCGGGUACGGUGGCUCACGCCUGUAAUCUCAGCACUUUGGGAGGCUGAGGCGGAUGGAUCACCUGAGGUCGGGAGUUCAAGACCAGCCUGACCAACAUGGAGAAACCCUAUCUCUGCUAAAAAUACAAAAUUAGCCAGGCGUGGUGGCACAUGCCUGUAAUACCAGCUACUCAAGGGGCUGAUGCAGGAGAAUUGCUUGAACCCAGGAGGCAGAGGUUGCGGUGAGCCGAGAUUGUGCCAUUGCACUCCAGCCUGGGCAACAAGAGUGAAACUCUGUCUCAUAAAAUAAAUAAAUAAAUAAAUAUAAACCUACACACAGGCCAGGCAGGGUGGCUCACCCUGUAAUCUCAGCACUUUGGGAGGCCGAGGCGGGUGGGGUGGAUCACGAGGUCAGGAGAUCAAGACCAACUUGGCCAAGACGGUGAAACCUCAUCUCUACUAAUAAUACAAAAAUUAGCUGGGCAUGGUGGCACAUGCCUGUAAUCCCAGCUACUCAGGAGGCUGAGACAGGAGAACCGCUUGAACCAGGGAGUCGGAAGUUGUGGUGAGCCGAGAUCACACCACUGCACUCCAGCCUGGUGACAGAGUGAGACUCUGUCUAAAAAAAAAACCUGCACACAAAUAUUCAUGGUAGCUUUAUUCAUACUUGCCAAAACCUGGAAGCAACCAAGAUGUCCUUCAAUAGGUGAAUGGGUAAAUAAACUGUGGUACAUCCAGACAAUGCAAUAUUAUUUGGUGAUUAAAAAAAAAGAAAUGAGUUAAAAUCUUGGAUUUCUUUUUUUUAAAUGAGUUAUAAAGCCACAGAAAGACCUUAAAUACAUAUUGUUAAGUGAAAGAAGCCAGCCUGCAAAGCUACAUCUAUACAUGACUGUAUGACAUUCUAGAAAAGGCAAAACUAUAGAGACAGUGAAAACAUCAGGGAUUGCCAGGGGUUAAGAGGGAAGGAAGGAUGAAAAGGCAGAGGACAGAGGAUUUUAAGGCCGGUGAAACAAUUCUAUAUCAUACCAGAAUGGUGGAUAUAUGGGCUGGGGCUCAGAAAACAAUACCCCCAAAUGAAUGCCUCAGAAGCAAAAGUUUCUCCUGCCCUCCCAUCCCUGACCUCAUUCUCCCCCAAGGUUAGCCAUAGAAACCAGAAGUCCUCUUUCCCAAGGUGGGUCAUAGAAACUUCCAAACCCCUUUUCCCCAAAGCCAGUCAUAAAACCUAAAAAUAUGACUCUAACUUCCACCCCCACCCCACCACCUUUCUGUGUAAAAAUGUGUCAUAAGGAAAUCAUCUAACCUGCCUUGUUUGGUUGUCGGUCGUAAGACCCCCAUUCGAGAGAGGGCCCUGCCCCGUACCCAGCAGGAAGCAAUGCUGCCCAGAGAGGCCACGAGGAAUCUAGACAGGGCUUGCUGGGGGGCCCCACUCACUCUAUGAGCAUUAGCUCAUUCCCUUUUUUGUCCAAUCACAUUUCUAAAUAUUUUGUUGCACCUAAGCUUAAAAGUGGGCAGAGUCCCCUGCAUCUCUGGGUCUUCGUUCUGAAGGCUCCCCUGUCAUGUAACACUAUGACCAAAUAGAUGUGUGUGCCUUUUCUCCUAUUCAUCUGCCUUUUGUCUGUUAAUUUUCAGUGAAACUUCAGAGGGUGAAGGGGAAGUUUUCCUUGGCCCCUACACGUGUCAUUACAAACCCAUAGAAUGUACAAUGCCAAGAGUGGACCUUAGUGCAAGCCAGGGACAUUAGUCAGUAAUAAUGUUCCACGCUGACGCACAAAUGAAAGUUAUUUUAUUUGUGUGAACAGGAGAGCUGACAUGGUCUGUAUUGAUAUCUCCUGGGCAGGGAGGUGGUGAGCACGGCCCCAGAAUUCUGAACUGCCAGGAGCCAGGCAGCUUUGCAUCCUGGAGCUUGGCCAAUUCAGCCGCCCAAGUUCUGGCCAUGGGUCUGCAGCCCCCUGGCCCUUGCCUGCAUAAGCAGGAGAUGAAUGAGAGGAAGCAGAACUCACACAGGAGGCAGGAGGAAGCCACCAGGAAGCUCACUGGCUCCAGGGGCAGCAGAUCUGGGAUGGGGUCCCAGUUCUCUCCUUCCUCAUUCAUGAAAUGGGGCAAUAACAGUACUUACUUCAUUGGAGGUUCUUGGAGGGAAUAAAAGAGAUAUUAGUUAAAGGCAUGGAGCACAGUCCCUGGCACACUGAAAAAGUUUCAUAAAUGUUACCAAUUAAUUGUUUGUAUUAUAUAAUGUCUUCCUGAUAGGUUUUUGGGAAGGAAUAAAUCAAAGGUGAGAAAAUAUAUACAAAAACCUGACUGAGCGAGAACAUAGCUUACACACAAGAAGUGGCAGCUUGGUGAGCACACUGCUAUGUCAUGUUGUGCCUAGUCAUGACAUAGCCAAGGACUGAUACAGGCGCUCCCAUAACCCAUGGAUGGAUUCCUGCUGGACUCUAUUCAUGAAGGUUCUGAUUCUAAUUUUUUUAAAUCCAUGGAUAAAACAGCUACCAGAAAAUCCCAUUUGGGUUUGCAUGUUGUUCUUUGGCUUCGGUGGACAGCAAUCAUAUCAGUUGCAUUUCCCGAGCUAGAGCUCUGAGGCUUAGUCAUCCCCCUCCCUGGCUGGCUUCCAUGCUGUCUGCAGUGGGAGCAUCUUUUAUGAGAUGACAGGAGGGGACUUCAUGGAUGUGCAGCCUGGGCUGCUGGUACUGCCGGGGCUGCUGGUACUGCUGGGACUGCAGGAGAGGGAUGGUUUCUAUUAAUCCUCACAAUGGGAGGGUCCAGUGGGCUGUCACAGCACAGGCAGGGAAUCACAGGCCUCCCUGGGUGACCAGCUGUCCUGGCUGCUACCAGAUUCGGACUCCAGCAGGCUUUCCCUGGGGGCAGAGAUGACCUUGAUCUCUGGGCAGCUAGGCUUCAUGUCCUUGAUAUUUGUGGCCCUGCAUUGUUGGGGCACAGGAUGCAGAGCUGGGGAUGACUGAGCUUAAACUCCUGCUGCUAUGGAGGGCUGCCUCCUUGCCCUGAAUGCCCUGGGAGCCCUUUUAAAAACACAGGUCCAAGGAGUGAUAACAUGAGGGGCAGCACCUCUGGCCCCUGAGAGAGAAACUUGUCCAGUGAUAUGUGCACAAGCAACAUCUCCAGGCAUUCCUUCCAGACAAGGCAAGAGGCCCCCCAGGUGUGAUAUGUUAGCUACACAUGGGCUUGGUCUGUACUGCAAAUGUGUACUCAGUGAUGGGGCCAUUAGAUAUUUGGUUUCUACAUUGCUGCGAUGAAAAUUUACAAAGAACGUUCAUGGGGAAACCAGCUCCCAUCCAUGGGCAGCAGAGGAAUGUUGUCCAAGACUUACAUGGACAGGUAAGACUAAGGUCUCAUCCCAUACUCAGCAGUUCUGUGACCUUUUACAGAACAUAGGGAGGCAAGAAGGGAAAUGAGCCUUAGUUAGCCUCAGGGAGAACCAAGCCAGGUCUGUUUAGGGUCACCACCUUCACUGAACUGCCCUCCACUGGAGGCUAGGAACUGCAGGACAUGAGUUCAACAUCAAAAUAGUAAAAAUAGUGGCAAAUGUUUAGCAGUGUUUGCAACAUAUCAGGUGUCACAGCAACCUCUGCAGGAGAGGUGAGCAGGGCUAAUAUUUAGCAGGUGCACCCUUGUACUGGCUGCCUGCCAUUUAAUAGGUUAGUGCCUCAGCUGGUUAUUGAAUAUUUUCAACAUCGGCCCUGGGUACUAAGAUUAGUUCCCAUUUUACUGAUUAGGAAAUCGAGGUUAAGAGAGGGUAGGCGAUUUGCCUGAGAUCACACAGCCUCGUGUGUGGCAGAGCCUUAGAUUCCAAGCCAGGCUGUCCGAUGCCAGACCUUCACAGCUAUCCUAUGCUUCCACGGCACCCCGGACUUCCCCUUGGAGCACUUGCCAGUGAAACAAACAUGCCCUGGAGAAAUGCCUGGGUGAGUGUGCCUUCUUCCUUGCACAGAGACGGGCCUCUUGCACCCUCUACUUUCCUACUGUGGCUGGGGUGAGGUGGCGGGUAGAAGGGCGUGGGUUGUAGCUCACUGUCUUCUUCAGGAGUCCCACAGUGGGUAGGAGCACCAGCUGUUCAACAAGAGAAGACCAUUAGGCUUCAGGAGGGAGAGGAAGUUUUUUUGGGAAUGAGAGGACCAAGAGAAAUGAGGCACAGGGGAGAUCGGCCCCAAGGCUUGUCCUGAAAAAAGAACAUCAUCUUCUUCUAAGGUCCCGAGCGUGGGAUUUAUCUGACACAUUCUUCCACAUGCUUAUUGCAGGAGGAGCGUUGUGUUAAGUGCUUUGCAUGCAUUAAUUAUCUCAUUUAAACCAAAACCAACCCAGUGUGGCUGAGUGACUAUAUGAUGUCCAUUUUACAGAUGAGGAAAGGGAGGCUGAGAGAGCUUAAAGGACACACCACUUUUGAGUGGCAGAGCUAGGAUGCAAACCAGACCUGACUGCUGUUAAAGCUUGUGAUGUUUGUAGUCAUUCUUCUAUACUGUACCCUCAUAGGAAGUUCAAAAACAGAGAGGGUGGGAUUUGGUCUUUGGCUUUUGUUUAAAUGUAUGUUUUUAUAGAUAUAUUUCCUUAGCCCAUGCUAUGAACCAGGAGUUUCCAUUUGUUUAUUUAACUGAUUUAUUAAGCCUUUUUAGGGGCCAGCCCAGGUUCUGGGCACAAGCUGGAGAAGGAGAGCUGCUGCGGUCCCUAACUCAUGCCUCUUGCGGCAGUGGGUGGGUGUGAAGAGGGAGGAGGGGAGGAGGUGGUGAGAAGUCUGCUUCACAUUAUUCAGAGUUUCCUGUGAGCCAGGCACUGUGCCUGGGGCUAAGUGAUUAUAUCAUUUAGCCCUCCCAAUAGACUCUCAGGUAGACGCUCUCUUAUUUCCACUUUUUCCCAUUUACAGAUGGGGAAAUGAAGACUUAAGAAACUUAGGUAAUCUGCCCAAAGGCUUAUAGCCAAUACAUGGUAAAGCUGAGAUGUGAACUCAAGUAUCUGACUCCAAAGCCUGGGUUUUUUCUCUUUCUCUCUCUCUUUUUUUUUUUUUUUUGAGACAGGGUCUCACUCCUUCACCCAGUCUGGAGUGCAGUGACAUGGUCAUAACUCACUGUAACCUCAAACUCCUGGGCUCAAGUGAUCCUCCUUUCUCAGCCUCCUGAGUAGCUGGGACUACAGGCACACACUUUUAUGCCUGGAUAAUUUUUGUACUUUUUUUGUAGACAGGGUCUUACUGUGUUGCCCAGGCUGGUCUGGAACUCCUAGGCUAAAAUGAUCCUCCUGCCUCAGCCUCCCAAAUUGCUGGGAUUACAGGUGUGAGCCACUGUGCCCGGUCAAAGCCUGUGCUUUGAUUUGCCACCUAAUCCUCCUCCGUUUUAUAUGUAAUGUUAACCCCAAACCUGCAGGGUAGCCGUUAUCAGCCUCAUUUAACUGACAGGGAAGCCCAGUCUCAGAGGGGCCAGAUGCGUGCCCAAGGCCUUGCUGGGAAGAAUGGGAUUCUGGGCCCAGGCAUUCCAGCGCCAAGUCCAGGGCGUGAUUGUUACUCUGCAGUCCCUCUCUGUGACAAGAGCCUCACCGGGAACUCGGGGGUGGGGGCUCCCCCAAGCCUCCUGGCUGGACCCCAUUCCAAGCGUUAGUGUAACAGAUGUUGUGUGGCGGGAGUCUGUUGUGCUCCUGGUGUGUGGCUGGGAUUCAGAGGUGUCUUCAAGCGCUCUAGGAAGCCGGCGGGCGGGGCCAUGGCCGCAGAAGUGAGUGCAGGGAUGGAGAAUACAGGGAGUCCCUUGACCGGAGGAGACUUUGGAGGCAUUUGUGCUGUUCGCGUGAACUCCGCGUCCAUGGCCUACCCUGUGAUUGUCAUCAUUUCUAUGUGAGAAAAAAGCGGCUACUGAUUCACAGCGAAAGGAAACGGACUAGGUUCUGAAACUUCCUGUUUGUCUGGUAUCUGCAAAGAUAUGUGUGUUAUGCAAAUACCCUGACUCCCCAGAACUGCAGGUGUGUACAAACACACACACGCACGCACACACACACACACACACACACACACACACACACCCUCUGCUUGGCCCCAUGCAGUGGGUCUCCUCUGUACCCAGUAAACUGAAACAUGACUCUACUAACAUGGUAGCCAGGACACUGGGGACUCUGCUGUCGGAAUCCCUGAUCAUAGAGACAGCAGCUUUGGCCUUCGGCUCAAAGAGCUUCACAGAUGUCCCUUGUAGGCGAGUCCUGGCUCUGGCUCCUGGCCCACUGCAGAGCCUGGGAGUGAGGCAGGCAGAUAGGCGAGGGGGUCUCACCCAGGCCCAGGAACUCCAUUUUCUCUCAGCCCCAUUCCUCCCUCCCUCGGCUCCCUGACCGUGCUGAACGCAGCUCCCAAGCAGGGGGAGAGUCCAGAUAAUGGCAGAUGUUGAUUGUUUCCUGUUGGUUCACUGUGUCCUUUUGGCAGGCCUUUCUUUCUUUCAAAAUAUAUUCAGGUUUGAGCCUAGCACUGCAGCUUGCUGAGUGGGUCUAUGCUUCCAUAGAGCAGUGGCUUCGGGCACAGGCCUGAGACCCAGCCUGCCUGCGGGCUGCUAGCUGCCAGCUACCUCUGCACUAGGAAGGUUUUUAAACAGCUGAAUGCAAGCUUCAGCGUUAAUAGGUGAAAGUGAAAAUGACAUGUGACUUCUAGACAAUUCUCAUAGAUUCAAAAUAAUUGUUCUCUGUAAUGAGUAAAAUAACACUCUUGCAACAGCUGAAUGCUUUUCUCAUAUUCUGAGUUGCCCGAAUUAGGGGAAAUGGGUCUAAAUGGCUGCAAGAGGCAGUUUUGUCAGCUAGACGUCUUUUUACAAGUAUAUUGCAUCCUUCAGUCUCUUCCUGCCCCACCCUAAGACCCUCACCUGGGAAAUGGGAGGAUGGCUUGGAAGGCAAUUGUCAGGCCUCUGAGCCCAAGCUAAGCCAUCAUAUCCCCUGUGACCUGUACAUACACAUCCAGAUGGCCCGGUUCCUGCCUUAACUGAUGACAUUCCACCACAAAAGAAGUGAAAAUGGCCUGUUCCUGCCUUAACUGAUGACAUUACCUUGUGAAAUUCCUUCUCCUGGCUCAUCCUGGCUCAAAAGCUCCCCCGCUGAGCACCUUGUGACCCCCACCCCUGCCCGCCAGAAAACAACCCCUUUGACUGUAAUUUUCCUUUACCUACCCAAAUCCUAUAAAACAGCCCCACCCCUAUCUCCCUUCGCUGACUCUCUUUUCGGACUCAGCCCGCCUGCACCCAAGUGAAAUAAACAGCCUUGUUGCUCACACAAAGCCUGUUUGGUGGUCUCUUCACACGGACGUGCGUGAAAGCGAUGAAGCUGAGGUUGCAGGAAAGGAGUGAUCACCUGGCUCAGAGCUGGGCCCUAAAAGUCUAGGCCAGAGCCUCCCUGUUGUGAAAGGGAGUGGAAGGAGAAGGGGCUGGGAUGGGUCAAACUGGGUGGAAAGCUAGGCUCUGCUGUUUAGAAGCUGUAUGAUCUUGAGCAAGUUGCUUAACCCUUGCUAAGCCUCAGUUUCCCUUCCUGCAGAAAGGGAUUAUCAUGGGGACGAAAGGGGAUCCAGAACCUGGAGUGGAGGAUAGGGUGGGUAAGUGGAAGGUGUCAUGAGGACAACAUAUGCUGAGACACUCACCACCCUUUCUGAGGGCGCCUCAGCAGCAGGUCACAUGGUGCCUGAAACUCGUUUUUCUGAGUUGUGCUGGUUUGUGGAAUGAAAAGGGAAGCCAGGCUUCCUUCUUACUAGCUCUGACUGCCUUGUUUUAAGGAUCAUUCACCUUCCCUAAGGAUGGGAUAAAGCCUUCCUGUAGAGCAGACCGAUCUCCUUCUUUAUCCCUACAGUUCUCCCACCGUGGCCAUGGCCUUGGGGGCUGUUCUGACUCUUACAUUUAUAUAUCACUCCUACUUUCCCAGCCAGCAGGAUAGAAAACCUGAGAAGGGAAUUCUGCCUUAUAAACAUUUCUUACAGAUGGGGCAGACAGGUUGUUUCUUUUUUACCAAGGAAGCUCAGGGCAAUUCUGGUUGCAGGAAUGUUAAGCACUGAUAAAGAAGAGAAGAAAAAAUAUUCACCCUCCAGGGCCUGGAAUUUCCCCAUUCCUGAGCCCUGGCUUCCCUGUCUGAGAUAGAGACUGUCAGUCAGUCACCUACCAAUUCCCAAUUUCUCUUUCUGCUUUACUAAAAGUACUUGAUUUGGGAUGGGGGUGGGGGGUGGCAGGCAGCAAUACAUCCAAGUAAAAGACUGUACUUCCCAAAUCUCUUGAAACUAGGGACAGCCAAUGAGGUAUAAAUGAAAAUUAUUGGGGCUGGGGUCCCAAAAGCUUCUCUCUCUUUUUUGAGACAGAGUCUCAGUUUGUCAUCUAGGCUGGAGUGCAGCAGCAGGAUCACAGCUGUAAAAUCAAAAGUGUCAAAGACAGGUCUCAAUCAAUUUAGAAAGUUCAUUUUGCCAAAGUUAAGAGCACACCUUUAACCUCAGGUGAUCCUGACAGCAUGUACCCAAGGUGGUUGGUGCCCAACUUGGUUUUAUACAUUUUAGGGAGCAUAAGGCAUCAAUCAAUAUGUGUAAGAUGUACAUUGGUUUGGUCUGGAAAGGUGGGACAACUGAAAGGUGGGACUUCCAAGUCAUAGGUGGAUUCAAAGAUUUUCUGAUUGGCAAUUGGUUGAAAGAGUUAUUAUCGAUAGAAAAGAAUGUCUGGGUUAUGAUGAGGGGUUUUGAAGGGAGGAGGGUAGAAUGAGGCAUGUCUGACUCCCCCUUCCCAUCAUGGCCUGAACUAGUUUUUCAGGUUAACUUUGGAAUGCCCUUGGCUAAGAGGAAGGGUCCAUUCAGAUGGUUGGCGGGGGGGCCUUAGAAUUUUAUUGUUGGUUUACGUGGCUCAGUGCAGCCUUCACCUCCUGGGCUCAAGUGAUCCUUCCAUCUCAGCCUCUUGAGUAGCUGUGGCCACAGGUGCAUGCCACCAUGCCUGGCUAACUUUUUUUUUUGGUAGAUAUGGGGUCUUGCCAUGUUGCCCAGGCUGGUUUUGAAUUCCUAAGCUCAAGUUAUCCUCCUGUUACAGGAAAGGGGUCCUGAUCCAGAUCCCAAGAGAGAGUUCUUGGAUCUCACACAAGAAAGAAUUCGAGGUGAAUCCAUAGAGUAAAGUGAAAGCAAGUUUAUUAGGAAAGUAAAGAAAUAAAAGAAUGGCUACUCCAUAGGCACAGCAGCUUCCAGGGCUGCUGGCUGCCCAUUUUUAUGGUUAUUUCUUGAUUAUAUGCUAAUUAUUUAGUGUUUGCAAAAAUAGCCAGGCUAUAAGGGGUGGAUUAUUCAUGAGUUUUGUGGAAAAGGGGUGGGCAAUUCCCAGAGCUGAGGGUUCCUCCCAUUUUUAGACCAUAUAGGGUAACUGCCAGAUCUUACCAUGGCAUCUGUAAACUGCCAUGGUGCUGAUGAGAGUGUCUUUUAGCAUGCUAAGGCAUUAUAAUUAGCAUAUAAUGAGCAGUGAGGACAAUCAGAGAUCACUCUUAUCACUAUCUUGCUUUUGGGGGGUUUUAACCAGCUUCUUUACAGCAGCCUGUUUUAUCAGCAAGGUCUUUGUGACCUGUUUCUUGUGCUGACCUCCUAUGUCAUCCUGUGACUUAGAAUGCCUACCCUUCUAGGAAUGCAGCCUAGUAGUUCUCAGUCUUAUUUUACCCAGCCCCUACUCAAGAUGGAGUCCCUCUGGUUCAAAUGCCUCUGACACUCCCACCUCAGCCUCCCAUAGUGCUGGAAUUACAGGCUUGAGCCACUGCACCUGGCCUUAAAAGCUUCUUAAAGGGAUCUAAGAAAUUGACUCUCCCCACCCUCUUUCUUAACCGUAAAACACUAAUGUAAUGGCUGGAGUUCUAGCAACCAUAUUGGGCCAUGAGGCAACCUUGAAAAAGGAAGCCACAAACUAAAACAUUGACUCUCAACCUUUAAUGCUGAAAAAAGAAAAAGUAUCCCCUGACAUCCGGGAAAUGGCCUGACACUUUGAGCUAGGGCUUAAUCUUAUUAAAAGCUUGCCUGGCUAUUUUUGCAAACACUGAUGUCAGUCGCCAGUCUGCAACUGUGAUGAAGAGGUCAAAAGAGACCCCUUCCUAACUCUGUCUAAGCACAAACAACUCCACAAAACACUAGACACACCCCCUUCUGGCUCAUUAAGUGACAGGGGCCUCCUUAUCAACUAUAACUAUAGCCUUGAUCUUGUCUUCUGUCCUUAUAGAUAAGAUUUACUAACAUACCCAGCUGCAGAAUUGUCCCAUUUCCAGACAGCAGACAAUGCAGAGCAAGCCCUUCCCUCCUAGACCCUCCCCAAAUUCACCUAACCAAAGCCCAAAGCCUAAAAGUCCCUUUGAACACCUUUUUAGUGAAAUGGUGCCCCCAUGAUAUCUUCCUCAUUGCAACCAGUAAUAAAGCCAACUUGUUCAAAUGCCGGUUUGCAAAUAAAUCACUUGGGGAUUUGUUAAAAUGCAGACUGUGGUUCAGUAGGUCUGAAGUAGAGCUUAUUCUGUGUUUGCCACAAGCACCCAGUGAGGCACUUGCUGCUGGACCAUGGUCCCACUUUGGGUAGCAAGGCAGUUAAGGGUGGCAGAUUAGAACACUGGACAUGCUUAACCUUGACCAUGGGACCACUGUAUGCAUCCUGUUGUUUCUCAGUGAAAAUAUGCCUGUAUUUCAUGUAAGCCCCCGCUAUAUAUGUUGGCUACUAGCAACUUAACCAACACGUUGUCCUUGUCCUUAGAAAAUGUGUGGUUACAGCCAGGUGUGAGCAGGCCUAGACCAGGCUUGGGGAUUUAUUGACCAAAUGUGGUGCCUUUGAGGUGAAACCACAAGUAAUCAGAGAAGCUGAGUCACUCCACUUAGUGGACUGGUGGAAAAUUCUCAAAUGGUCUUAAGCUGGCCCCAUGUUGGGCUGAGGACUAGAGAUCUCAGAGGCUCCACCUGCCCAUCCAAUUGCAGGUGUCUGGGCCUGGCCCCACCUUGCCUUCCUGCUCCAUUGCUCACCAUUCCACACCCAAAGGCACCAUGAUGUUUUGUACCUCCUUGCCUUUGCUCUUCCCUUUGCCAGGGAUGCCCUUCCCACCUUCCUCCACGUGGCUAACCCUCCCUCAGCUCUGCUUCCAGGGUGUCUCCCCUGGUCGCCAAGGGCUGGCUAGUGCCUCUUCUUUGCUCCCAGGGCACCCUGUGCCUUUCUGUGCCCCAACUAUUUCCCAGUUUGUAGCAGUUAUUUAUUUUGUGGUCAUCUUCCCACUGGUCGUCAGCUCCUAGAGGGCAGGGAUCAUGUUUUGGGUUAUUCAUCACUGCAUCCCCUGACAUAGUCCCCAAACCUCGAGAACUAUGAAACUGCACCAAAGGUUCCAGCUCCCCCACAGCCUGCCCUUAACCUUGAGCCAUUUGAAGGGAGAGUAUGAGACAAUAGUGAAAGAAACCCUUCUCUAAUGUUUUCCCCAUUUAGGUUAUGUGAAGUUGGCAGUUCCCAAGGGCUUUAGGCUUGAAGCUGUGGGUCAUACCCCUUCGGAAACUUGGUCCCCAAGAGAAAUGUAUGCUUCUGAAAACCACAGGUGCAUGAAUCGUGUUUAGUAAAUGACUACUAAACUGAAAUCAGGACUUGUCUAUAUCUUGGCUUCUCAAACUUGAAUAUGCUUAUCAUCUGGAUAGCAAAAGCAUUCCUACACGUUGAGGCCUGCCAGCGUGGGUGUCACCCAGGAGCCACUCGGAAAGGCUCAUCGGAAACCACCCCGGACUGACUGAGGCAGAAUCUCUGGGGGCAGGACCCAGGCCUCAGCAUAAAAACUCCAGGUGACGGAAGAGCUCCCACCUAACAGAAAGAAAAUAAAAGAGACUGAGAAACCACAGAAAUAAAGAAGCGCUGAUGACAAUGCCUGCUUGCUGAUGGUUACGAUGAUCAUAGCAGUGUGCAUUUUGUAUGCAUGAAGCCUGCGACUAAAUAAACGUGUGGGGAAAUAUUUGUAAGGAAAUAAGCUAUUAAUAAAAUAAGCUAAAAUCACAGUUGCUGGACUAUGACUGAUUUUUCCCCUUUCUCUCAUUUAAAAUUAAAUAUUUGUAUGACUUGUAUAAUAGAAAAAUACAUGUAUUCAAUCUUAAAAAGAUAUUCUUAUUUUACACUUUACGGGACAAAAGAGGUUGUAGGUUGGAAUGGUUCAGUCCCCUUGUGACAACUCAAAAACAGAGACCUUAAGCCUUUCUCAACCAAUGUUGCGGGACAAGCAGGCGUGUGAGGCGACAAUGCCAUUAGGGUAUUUUUUGGAAAAAUUUUAGUGUGAGAGACAAAAGCCAAAUUCAAACUGGCCUGAGCCAAAAUAGGUAGGAAAGGGAGAAGCGGAGACAGGGAGGAAGAAAGAGAGAGAACAGAAAGAAAAAGGGAGAAAUGUCGAAAGGCAAAAUUACAACACAUUUAGUUAAAUGAUUGAAUUGGUUUUUAUUUGUAAUUCAUGAAUUGGGGCAGCAUCUCCUCUAAAACUUUAGGAAAAGUGCUCUGAUGAGCUAAACAGAGAAGCUUGGCUUUAUAGGCAGAAAAGGGUGAAGAAAGCAGACACAGGGAACAAAAAGCAGAUUGGUAAGCUCAGGUUACUUCAGGUUACUUUCCUUAUAAAGGUUAAAGUAGAGGGGACUUCCUUAUCAUGCUGGCUACAACUGGCCUGUUUGGGGAUUUGCAUAUUAUCUCUCUCUGUCUUGAGUUCUGGGAAGGUCUGAUGACUUAGUUUCAGUUUGGUGAUAUGGAACUUAGCAUGAGUGACUCCAUCUUGGUUUGGUCUACUGGGGCCUCCUGCAGGAGCUCAGCCCAAAUCAGUGACCUCCUAUAAAUUUCAUUUAAUAGAAAAGGAAGGAAGGAAGGAAGGAAGGAAGGAAGGAAGGAAGGAAGGAAGGAAGGGAGGGAGGGAGGGAGGGAGGGAGGGAGGAAGGGAGGAAAGAAGGAAGGAAAGAAAGAAAGUUGCUUAUAAGUUGCUUAUAACUAAAAAGACCAGCUGGACCCAGGAGCUCUGAGGUUGCUUUCAGGCCUCUGUCCAUCUCUUAGUUUUCCAUCCUCAGACAGGCUCUGCCCUGCCUUACAGUCUAGCAUUGUUGGCCAAAGGUGACUGACUGGCCCAGCUUGGGCUAUAUGUCCUUCCCUGUGGCCAGAGAGAUGUGUCUCUGUGAUGGCCAGGCUUGGGUCACGUACUCCCUCCCCUACCAGAAUCACAUGAAAAGAGGGAGGAAGAGCCGCUUUCCACCAAAGGAAACUGAAGUGCUAUUGUCAGAGGGGUUGCUGGGCAGACCAAAAAGAUGACAAUAUCUGCUCCAAUCGCUCGGGUUGUUGGUGCUUGGCAGAUUUGCCCCUACGUCACUUUUCAGAUGUGGAUAAGACUGAAGGUGACCACAGGCUUCCGAGAGGAAAGCUGCCAAUGGGGGUGUGAGAGGAGGGGGAAUUCUUACUCACCAAGGUUAACACUGUGCACACUGUUCUCCGAGGAAGUGGGAAUUUCCACAUGGUGAGUUCCCUUCCCUGUACAAUGAAUUACUAUCUUGAUGAGAAACCCGUGGGCAGCUGGUUGAGAAGAGAAAGGUAUUCUCUGAAUGAGAGGGAAUUUACCACCUUCCUUUCAAUGGUGACAGUUUUUUCUGGUGUCACCGCAGGGUGUGGAUUGAUUCAUAUACAAAUAUACAUAUCUACAUAGAUGCCAUUCUGCUAGCCUCUGCAAAAUGCAUGCCUGGAGACCAUUUCUGCUGCCUAGGAGAUGUCAACUUUGUCACCACCACUCUCUCUCCACCACUCCCACACCCUGCAGGGGCCAGGUGUGUGGGUGGGGAGCUCCCCAGCUGGAGGCCAGAUUAGAGGUCUCUGUGUGGUGGGGAUGGGGAGGAUGGGGUGGGAAUGAGGUGGUAGGCCACUGGCAGUGGUCCAAGUUCCAUCCAGGAUCUGUCCUAGGCCUCUCCCCAGGCUGUCGCUUCCACCAUUGAAUUUCUAACCUGGAUCUCUAAGGUUAUGAAUAUCUCAUUCCCGCAUCCUGGGGUGCUCAGACAUGUCUCCCCUGAGUCUCUAGCUGGGCUCGUGGCUGUGAUCAUUGUCCUCAGAGUUCCAUCCUCCCAACAAAGGGACAGAAGAAACACAGGGCCCACUUUUCUGGAUUCUGAGUUGGAGCCAAGAAAUUCUAUCUGCUGCUUCCUUCCUGUUGAAUUAUCCCCCAAGGACCCCUUAGUCCCUCCAGUCUCCUCCAGAGGCCUAUAGCUGCCCCAGCUCCCCAUGAUGGAUACCUGGCUCUUUCCUACCCAGAGGAAAACGCAGGCCCUUCCCCAGCCCUGCACUGAACUCCUGUGAGUGGCUGAGGAGAUGAGGAGGUGUGAAGAGUGAGUGUGUUGGGGAGGGAGGGGUCCCCUGCCACCAGGUACCAAGGACUUCUGCCAGAUCACCAGAACUGACACCUGGUUCCACCGGCCAGCUGUGAAGUGUCGGCCCUGACAUCAACAGCUGACCUCCCACAGGGCCUAAGGAAACGGAAUUGUGG
rnacentral:lncRNA from 1 species